UCCGGUGCUUGCACCGGGGAUUAGUGGCGAACGGGUGAGUAACACGUGAGUAACCUGCCCUUGACUCUGGGAUAAGCCUGGGAAACUGGGUCUAAUACCGGAUAUGACUCCUCAUCGCAUGGUGGGGGGUGGAAAGCUUUUGUGGUUUUGGAUGGACUCGCGGCCUAUCAGCUUGUUGGUGAGGUAAUGGCUCACCAAGGCGACGACGGGUAGCCGGCCUGAGAGGGUGACCGGCCACACUGGGACUGAGACACGGCCCAGACUCCUACGGGAGGCAGCAGUGGGGAAUAUUGCACAAUGGGCGCAAGCCUGAUGCAGCGACGCCGCGUGAGGGAUGACGGCCUUCGGGUUGUAAACCUCUUUCAGUAGGGAAGAAGCGAAAGUGACGGUACCUGCAGAAGAAGCGCCGGCUAACUACGUGCCAGCAGCCGCGGUAAUACGUAGGGCGCAAGCGUUAUCCGGAAUUAUUGGGCGUAAAGAGCUCGUAGGCGGUUUGUCGCGUCUGCCGUGAAAGUCCGGGGCUCAACUCCGGAUCUGCGGUGGGUACGGGCAGGCUAGAGUGAUGUAGGGGAGACUGGAAUUCCUGGUGUAGCGGUGAAAUGCGCAGAUAUCAGGAGGAACACCGAUGGCGAAGGCAGGUCUCUGGGCAUUAACUGACGCUGAGGAGCGAAAGCAUGGGGAGCGAACAGGAUUAGAUACCCUGGU
rnacentral:rRNA from 1 species